ACUCUAAAAUAUGUAAAGCCUUUAAUGAUUAAAUGGUGUAUCACUAUAUAAUAAUAAAAUUAUACAAUUCCGAUCAUCUAUGAUCGAAAAAGUGGUGGCUAUCUAAUGUAUAACAUCGAAUGUAAUAAUUCAUUCGAAACCCUUAAUGGACAGCAAUUAUAACACAUCAAAUAUAUUAAUAUUAAACAAAACUACACCGAUGCAACCAAUUCUCUACAGAAAAAAGAUUGUGAGUAAUAUGCCUUUGUAUUUUUACAUCUUCCGUAGUAGUGUUUGCGGUGUAAUAAACGUUCGUAUAUUUACAACGAAUUUCAACACGCGUCAGCAACAUUCAAUUGUCAAAAGCGGUAUAAUAUGCUUUGUCAGUCCUGGAGGUAACGUUCACAACUUACUGCACCGAGGACCGUCACACUUGGUUAACCAAGACAAUCGGGAUCAACGAUCAGUUGCAGCGCACGUGAAGUUAAAGGUAGCCUUGUCGAUCGUCGUCCGGAAUUACUUCAUUCUUCAAAGAUUCUUUCACUUUUCUUUAUCACUGUCCAAACAACAAAUAACCUAAAUUAUCGAACUAUGAUACUGUUUUGUGUCUGAUCACUAUCACGCUACCUAGUUACUGUGAAGUAAUAUACGAGGAUAAAAAGGUAAAGAGGAUACCCUAAAGAACAGAAACGUAGCGUAGACCAAGUGCCGAUAUGCUUUGGAUGGUACUUGCUACGCGCCGUCUUCGAGGUGAUAGAACGUACAAUGUUCGGAGCACCGCGAUACAUUCGAGUGUUUCUAUACUUGUGUACUUGUUGGUCGAUAUUUUGCACAAUUUUUUUUAUUUUCCCGAACUUCCUUGGCGGAAGAGCCCCAGAGAAAUUGGCCUCUAAACAAACGGAAUAUCGGAGAGAAAUAGUGGACGUCAUGAGAAUACCAUCAAGAGAAUCCAAUUUGAAUGACGAACAGAUUGGUAAGAUGACUUCACUUGGAAGGUGGCUUUUGUCUUCUGAGGGAAGUUUUCCACCGCCGAAAAUUAAUACGAAAAAGGAACCCUAUUUGAUUUUAAUUUGGAUGCACGGGAAGUUUUUGGAACGCAGGCACAUCAAACGCUUUACAGACAAACAAUAUUCUCCGUGGGAGGAUUGCUCGGUAUCAGAAUGCGUGAUAUCGUAUCGGCCGAAAGAUAUAGUUAUAGCGGAUGCGGUUAUAUUUCAUUUACACUUAACGAAAGGUGUAUCCGAAUUGCCAAUUAGGAGUCGGCGGGAACAAAGAUGGAUCUUCUUGACCGACGAAUCACCGAUGCACACAUUCCUCUAUGGAAAUCAGCAAAUAUCGGAAUAUAAUGGUUUAUUCAAUUGGUCAAUGACCUAUCGAAUGGACAGCGAUGUUCCGGUACCGUAUGGCCGAGCAAUACCUAGAUCACAUGUAAAUUUUGAAAAAGAUACCUCGAAAGAUGACGUCAAGAAAACAAAAAAGAAAUUGGUUGCUGUGAUGGGCAGCAACUGUGGCGGAGCGAACAAUAGAUGGGGCUACGUGAAAGAGCUUAAAAUGAUUCUUGGUGAUGAUCUCGAUAUAUACGGAAAAUGUUUGAACGGUAACGCGACUGCGUGCCCAGGCCAUUUCUUUAACGAUUGUCACCAUUUAAAUGCUUAUAAGUUCUAUUUAGCCUUCGAGAAUUCCAAUUGCAAAGAAUAUUUAACGGAAAAAGUAUUUUGGAACGGUUAUAAAAAAUUAGCGGUUCCAAUAAUAAUGGGCGCGCCAAAAAGAGAUUGCGAACGAUUGCUACCACCUGAUUCAUACCUACAUGUUUUAGAUUUCGCUAACCCAUCAGCCUUAGCUAAUUAUAUACGAUAUCUUGAUCGUCAUGACGAUAAGUAUCUCGAAUUUCACAAAUGGCGUAAAUAUUACAAAGUAAUCAAUGAACACGGUUAUUUUAAGAGCAUUUCCCGACAUUACUGCCGUGUUUGCCAGGCUUUACAUUACAAUUCUCCUGAUAUUAAAGUAUACGAAAAUUUGCAAUUAUUUUGGAACAAAAAUGAAGAUUGCACCCCUUGAUAUCUUUAAUUACGUUAUGUGGUUGUACAGUAAUGUCAUGAAUAAUGAAAUUCAUAUUAUUUAGUAAUAAUUACUUAAAUUAUUAAAUUAUGGAAUUAUAAUAGAUUAAUUGCAUAUUCAUAGGGCUAAUGUAUCAUAAUAUACGGGUUCCUGAUAUUAUUGUACAAUAGUAAUUGUAACCUGUUAUAAUUACAAGAGAUUUCUAAUCAUUUAGUGGAUUAUAUAACGCAUUGUUGAGGCUAUAAUUUAUUUACAACAAUUUAUCACAUGUUAUAUUUUGUAUGAUGUAAUGCGUAUUAAAGUCGGAUACUAUUAUACGCAAUAAAUACAUAUAUUGUACAUUUCAUAGUAAAUAUAAAGUAAUUAUUUAUAUAUACAUCGCAAAAGUAUUUUAUACAUUAAUUGUUAAAACUUUCAUAAUGACAGUAUUAGGUUAGAAUGUUUCAUCAUGUUUAUGUUAAUGUUUUACGUAAUACAAUAAAAAAUGCUCAAUCCGUGUCACGUAAAGAAUUCCAGCAACGUUUCUGUACCCUUUCAAGACAAUGUCAUAAAAUAGUUUAUUCUAAAGUAUUUCUUCGGAAAAUUUUUACCAAUACUAGUCAUUCACUAUGUACUAGAUUGGUGGAUGUUUCAGUACACAGUACUAUAUCUAUGAAAUUCUGUCUUGUUACUAAACUAUGGAAACAACAUCAAUUUUUAUCAAAGUUCCGGUACGUUUUAUCUCCAGCGUUUUAUUAUACUACACACUCUAUUAAACCGUCUCCAACUAUGACUUCGAAGUGUUUUAAAGGGCACAACGAUCAUUACAACGGCGUAACUGUCGAUUCAAAUGAGGAAUCUUGCGUACCAGAAGUAUUUGCUCAGCGUCUUAAAAUUUCCUUGCAAGAAUGGAUAAAAGAUAAAAAGCGUACCAUAUGGUUUCGAGUACAUUUAUCACAU